rnacentral:rRNA from 1 species
GGUUAAGCGACUAAGCGUACACGGUGGAUGCCCUGGCAGUCAGAGGCGAUGAAGGACGUGCUAAUCUGCGAAAAGCGUCGGUAAGGUGAUAUGAACCGUUAUAACCGGCGAUGUCCGAAUGGGGAAACCCAGUGCAAUUCGUUGCACUAUCGUUAACUGAAUACAUAGGUUAACGAGGCGAACCGGGGGAACUGAAACAUCUAAGUACCCCGAGGAAAAGAAAUCAACCGAGAUUCCCCCAGUAGCGGCGAGCGAACGGGGAGCAGCCCAGAGUCUGAAUCAGCUUGUGUGUUAGUGGAACGGUCUGGAAAGUCCGACGGUACAGGGUGAUAGUCCCGUACACCAAAAUGCACAGGUUGUGAACUCGAAGAGUAGGGCGGGACACGUGGUAUCCUGUCUGAAUAUGGGGGGACCAUCCUCCAAGGCUAAAUACUCCUGACUGACCGAUAGUGAACCAGUACCGUGAGGGAAAGGCGAAAAGAACCCCGGCGAGGGGAGUGAAAAAGAACCUGAAACCGUGUACGUACAAGCAGUGGGAGCACCUUCGGGUGUGACUGCGUACCUUUUGUAUAAUGGGUCAGCGACUUAUAUUCUGUAGCAAGGUUAACCGUAUAGGGGAGCCGCAGGGAAACCGAGUCUUAACUGGGCGUUAAGUUGCAGGGUAUAGACCCGAAACCCGGUGAUCUAGCCAUGGGCAGGUUGAAGGUUGGGUAACACUAACUGGAGGACCGAACCGACUAAUGUUGAAAAAUUAGCGGAUGACUUGUGGCUGGGGGUGAAAGGCCAAUCAAACCGGGAGAUAGCUGGUUCUCCCCGAAAGCUAUUUAGGUAGCGCCUCGUGAAUUCAUCUUCGGGGGUAGAGCACUGUUUCGGCUAGGGGGUCAUCCCGACUUACCAACCCGAUGCAAACUACGAAUACCGAAGAAUGUUAUCACGGGAGACACACGGCGGGUGCUAACGUCCGUCGUGAAGAGGGAAACAACCCAGACCGCCAGCUAAGGUCCCAAAGUCAUGGUUAAGUGGGAAACGAUGUGGGAAGGCACAGACAGCCAGGAUGUUGGCUUAGAAGCAGCCAUCAUUUAAAGAAAGCGUAAUAGCUCACUGGUCGAGUCGGCCUGCGCGGAAGAUGUAACGGGGCUAAACCAUGCACCGAAGCUGCGGCAGCGACACUAUGUGUUGUUGGGUAGGGGAGCGUUCUGUAAGCCUGCGAAGGUGACCUGUGAGGGUUGCUGGAGGUAUCAGAAGUGCGAAUGCUGACAUAAGUAACGAUAAAGCGGGUGAAAAGCCCGCUCGCCGGAAGACCAAGGGUUCCUGUCCAACGUUAAUCGGGGCAGGGUGAGUCGACCCCUAAGGCGAGGCCGAAAGGCGUAGUCGAUGGGAAACAGGUUAAUAUUCCUGUACUUGGUGUUACUGCGAAGGGGGGACGGAGAAGGCUAUGUUAGCCGGGCGACGGUUGUCCCGGUUUAAGCAUGUAGGCUGGUUAUCCAGGCAAAUCCGGAUAAUCAAGGCUGAGGUGUGAUGACGAGGCACUACGGUGCUGAAGUAACAAAUGCCCUGCUUCCAGGAAAAGCCUCUAAGCAUCAGGUAACAUUAAAUCGUACCCCAAACCGACACAGGUGGUCAGGUAGAGAAUACCAAGGCGCUUGAGAGAACUCGGGUGAAGGAACUAGGCAAAAUGGUGCCGUAACUUCGGGAGAAGGCACGCUGGUGUGUAGGUGAAGUCCCUGCGGAUGGAGCUGAGACCAGUCGAAGAUACCAGCUGGCUGCAACUGUUUAUUAAAAACACAGCACUGUGCAAACACGAAAGUGGACGUAUACGGUGUGACGCCUGCCCGGUGCCGGAAGGUUAAUUGAUGGGGUUAUCCGUAAGGAGAAGCUCUUGAUCGAAGCCCCGGUAAACGGCGGCCGUAACUAUAACGGUCCUAAGGUAGCGAAAUUCCUUGUCGGGUAAGUUCCGACCUGCACGAAUGGCGUAAUGAUGGCCAGGCUGUCUCCACCCGAGACUCAGUGAAAUUGAACUCGCUGUGAAGAUGCAGUGUACCCGCGGCAAGACGGAAAGACCCCGUGAACCUUUACUAUAGCUUGACACUGAACAUUGAGCCUUGAUGUGUAGGAUAGGUGGGAGGCUUUGAAGCGUGGACGCCAGUCUGCGUGGAGCCAACCUUGAAAUACCACCCUUUAAUGUUUGAUGUUCUAACGUUGGCCCCUGACCGGGGUUGCGGACAGUGUCUGGUGGGUAGUUUGACUGGGGCGGUCUCCUCCCAAAGCGUAACGGAGGAGCACGAAGGUUAGCUAAUCCUGGUCGGACAUCAGGAGGUUAGUGCAAUGGCAUAAGCUAGCUUGACUGCGAGCGUGACGGCGCGAGCAGGUGCGAAAGCAGGUCAUAGUGAUCCGGUGGUUCUGAAUGGAAGGGCCAUCGCUCAACGGAUAAAAGGUACUCCGGGGAUAACAGGCUGAUACCGCCCAAGAGUUCAUAUCGACGGCGGUGUUUGGCACCUCGAUGUCGGCUCAUCACAUCCUGGGGCUGAAGUAGGUCCCAAGGGUAUGGCUGUUCGCCAUUUAAAGUGGUACGCGAGCUGGGUUUAGAACGUCGUGAGACAGUUCGGUCCCUAUCUGCCGUGGGCGCUGGAGAAUUGAGGGGGGCUGCUCCUAGUACGAGAGGACCGGAGUGGACGCAUCACUGGUGUUCGGGUUGUCAUGCCAAUGGCACUGCCCGGUAGCUAAAUGCGGAAGAGAUAAGUGCUGAAAGCAUCUAAGCACGAAACUUGCCCCGAGAUGAGUUCUCCCUGAGACUUUAAGUCUCCUGAAGGAACGUUGAAGACGACGACGUUGAUAGGCCGGGUGUGUAAGCGCAGCGAUGCGUUGAGCUAACCGGUACUAAUGAACCGUGAGGCUUAACCUU